rnacentral:rRNA from 1 species
AUAGCGUAUAUUAAAGUUGUUGCAGUUAAAAAGCUCGUAGUUGAAUUUCGGGAUCAAUAUGUUGGUCGUGCCUUGGUACGUACUGGCAUUAUCGAUUCCUACCUUCUGAAGAACCUCGAUGUCAUUAAUUUGGUGUCUUGGGGAAUCAGGACUGUUACUUUGAAAAAAUUAGAGUGUUUAAAGCAGGCUCGCGCUUGAAUACAUUAGCAUGGAAUAAUGAAAUAGGACGUUUGAUUCUAUUUUGUUGGUUUCUAGGAUCGACGUAAUGAUUAAUAGGGAUAGUUGGGGGCAUUAGUAUUCAAUUGUCAGAGGUGAAAUUCUUGGAUUUAUUGAAGACUAACUACUG